rnacentral:rRNA from 1 species
AGGUAGUGACGAAAAAUAACGAUACGGGACUCAUCCGAGGCCCCGUAAUCGGAAUGAAUACACUUUAAAUCCUUUAAUGAGUAUCCAUUGGAGGGCAAGUCUGGUGCCAGCAGCCGCGGUAAUUCCAGCUCCAAUAGCGUAAUUAAAGUUGUUGCGGUUAAAAAGCUCGUAGUUGGAUUUGUGUCCCACGCUGUCGGUUCAUCGCUCGUCGGUGUCUAACUGGCAUGAUUCGUGGGACGUCCUGCCGGUGGUGGCGAGUCGAAAGCGUGCACCCGUUGUGGUUUCCACUUCGGUUCUUGGGCGCCGUAGGCGGACCCCGAUGAAAUCCUACCGCGGUGCUCUUCACCGAGUGUCGAGGUGGGCCGGCACGUUUACUUUGAACAAAUUAGAGUGCUUAAAGCAGGCCUGUUGCGCCUGAAUACUGUGUGCAUGGAAUAAUGGAAUAGGACCUCGGUUCUAUUUUGUUGGUUUUCGGAACCCGAGGUAAUGAUUAAUAGGGACAGGCGGGGGCAUUCGUAUUGCGACGUUAGAGGUAAA